rnacentral:rRNA from 1 species
GACGAACGCUGGCGGCGUGCCUAAUACAUGCAAGUCGAGCGAAGUAUGAGGAGCUUGCUUCUUAUACUUAGCGGCGAACGGGUGAGUAACACGUGGGCAACCUGCCCGAUAGACUGGGAUAACUUGGGGAAACUCAAGCUAAUACCGGAUAGGAUCAUUGACUGCCUGGUUGAUGAUGGAAAGUCUGAACGACACUAUCGGGUGGGCCUGCGGCGCAUUAGCUAGUUGGUGGGGUAAGGGCCUACCAAGGCGACGAUGCGUAGCCGACCUGAGAGGGUGAUCGGCCACACUGGGACUGAGACACGGCCCAGACUCCUACGGGAGGCAGCAGUAGGGAAUCUUCCACAAUGGGCGAAAGCCUGAUGGAGCAACGCCGCGUGAGUGAUGAAGGUUUUCGGAUCGUAGAACUCUGUUGUUAGGGAAGAACACCCGAGAGAGGAUCUCGGAAUGACGGUACCUGACGAGAAAGCCCCGGCUAACUACGUGCCAGCCGCCGCAGUAA